AACGAACGCUGGCGGCAGGCUUAGCACAUGCAAGUCGAACGCACCUUUCGGGGUGAGUGGCAGACGGGUGAGUAACGCGUGGGAAUCUACCCUUCUCUACGGGAUAGCUCCGGGAAACUGGAAUUAAUGCCGUAUACGUCCUGGGGGAGAAAGAUUUAUCGGGGAAGGAUGAGCCCGCGUUGGAUUAGCUAGUUGGUGGGGUAAAGGCCUACCAAGGCGACGAUCCAUAGCUGGUCUAAGAGGAUGAUCAGCCACAUUGGGACUGAGACACGGCCCAAACUCCUACGGGAGGCAGCAGUGGGGAAUAUUGGACAAUGGGCGCAAGCCUGAUCCAGCCAUGCCGCGUGAGUGAUGAAGGCCCUAGGGUUGUAAAGCUCUUUCAGUGGGGACGAUAAUGGCGGUACCCACAGAAGAAGCCCCGGCUAACUUCGUGCCAGCCGCCGCUGUAA
rnacentral:rRNA from 1 species